GAUUAGCUAGUUGGUGAGAUAAUAGCCCACCAAGGCAACGAUCAGUAGCCGACCUGAGAGGGUGACCGGCCACAUUGGGACUGAGACACGGCCCAAACUCCUACGGGAGGCAGCAGUGGGGAAUAUUGCACAAUGGGGGAAACCCUGAUGCAGCAACGCCGCGUGAAGGAAGACGGUUUUCGGAUUGUAAACUUCUAUCGAUAGGGAAGAAAGAAAUGACGGUACCUAAAUAAGAAGCCCCGGCUAACUACGUGCCAGCAGCCGCGGUAAUACGUAGGGGGCAAGCGUUAUCCGGAAUUACUGGGUGUAAAGGGAGAGUAGGCGGCAAGGUAAGCGAUAUGUGAAAGCCUUAGGCUUAACCUGAGGAUAGCAUAACGAACUAUCUAGCUAGAGUACAGGAGAGGAAAGCGGAAUUCUUAGUGUAGCGGUGAAAUGCGUAGAUAUUAGGAAGAACACCAGUGGCGAAGGCGGCUUUCUGGACUGAAACUGACGCUGAGGCUCGAAAGCGUGGGGAGCGAACAGGAUUAGAUACCCUGGUAGUCCACGCUGUAAACGAUGAGUGCUAGGUGUCGG
rnacentral:rRNA from 1 species